UACGUAGGCAGCGAGCGUUGUUCGGAGUUACUGGGCGUAAAGGGUGUGUAGGCGGUUAUUUAAGUUUGGUGUGAAAUCUCCCGGCUCAACCGGGAGGGUGCGCCGAAUACUGAAUGACUUGGAGUGCGGGAGAGGAAAGUGGAAUUCCUGGUGUAGCGGUGAAAUGCGUAGAUAUCAGGAGGAACACCGGUGGCGAAGGCGGGCUCUGGCGGCGAACUGACGCUGAGGAGCGAAAGCGUGGGGAGC
rnacentral:rRNA from 1 species